ACGGCCCAGACUCCUACGGGAGGCAGCAGUGGGGAAUAUUGCACAAUGGGGGAAACCCUGAUGCAGCAACGCCGCGUGAAGGAUGACGGUUUUCGGAUUGUAAACUUCUUUUCUUAGUGACGAAGACAGUGACGGUAGCUAAGGAAUAAGCAUCGGCUAACUACGUGCCAGCAGCCGCGGUAAUACGUAGGAUGCAAGCGUUAUCCGGAUUUACUGGGUGUAAAGGGAGCGCAGGCGGGACUGCAAGUUGGAUGUGAAAUACCGUGGCUUAACCACGGAACUGCAUCCAAAACUGUAGUUCUUGAGUGAAGUAGAGGCAAGCGGAAUUCCGAGUGUAGCGGUGAAAUGCGUAGAUAUUCGGAGGAACACCAGUGGCGAAGGCGGCUUGCUGGGCUUUAACUGACGCUGAGGCUCGAAAGUGUGGGGAGCAAACAGGAUUAGAUACCCUGGUAGUCCACACUGUAAACGAUGAUAGCUAGGUGUGGGGGGUCUGACCCCUUCCGUGCCGGAGUUAACGCAAUAAGCUAUCCACCUGGGGAGUACGACCGCAAGGUUGAAACUCAAAGGAAUUGACGGGGGCCCGCACAAGCAGUGGAUUAUGUGGUUUAAUUCGAAGCAACGCGAAGAACCUUACCAGGUCUUGACAUCCGACUAACGAGAUAGAGAUAUGUCAGGUGCCCUUCGGGGAAAGUCGAGACAGGUGGUGCAUGGUUGUCGUCAGCUCGUGUCGUGAGAUGUUGGGUUAAGUCCCGCAACGAGCGCAACCCCUGCCAUUAGUUGCUACGCAAGAGCACUCUAAUGGGACCGCUACCGACAAGGUGGAGGAAGGUGGGGACGACGUCAAAUCAUCAUGCCCCUUAUGACCUGGGCUACACACGUAAUACAAUGGCCGUUAACAGAGGGAAGCAAAGCGGUGACGCAGAGCAAAACCCUAAAAACGGUCCCAGUUCGGACUGUAGGCUGCAACCCGCCUACACGAAGUUGGAAUUGCUAGUAAUCGCGGAUCAGCAUGCCGCGGUGAAUACGUUCCCGGGCCUUGUACACACCGCCCGUCACACCAUGGGAGUUUGUAACACCCGAAGUCAGUGACCCAACCGCAAGGAGGGAGCUGCCGAAGGUGGGAUAAGCGACUGGGGUGAAGUCGUAACAAGGUAGCCGUAGGAGAACCUGCGGCUG
rnacentral:rRNA from 1 species